ensembl:snRNA U6 U6 spliceosomal RNA
GUGCUCACUUUGGCAGCAUAUAUACUAAAAUUGGAACAAUACAGAGAAGAUUAGAAUGGCCCCUGCUCAAGGAUGACAUGCAAAUUCAUUAAGCAUUCCAUAUUUUU